UUUGUAAUGAUACGUCAAUGAAGGUUAGACAUCCAGGUAAUAAGACACACCAGAUAGCAAUUUCUCAGGCAACUGGAUAUAAUUUUGGAAACGGUCAGACAUUUCAGGCAGAAUCCACUACCUUCAUCAGUGACACUGGGACACUUUUGUCAUGAUGUCUUAAAUAAUCAAGUUGGCUAUAGCCAUAGGCUUAUCACUCAAACGUAUUAAAAGUGCCAACCACAUAUGACGUCCUUCCUAAUACACAUACUUGGUCAUCUUACCUGAUAGGCAUGUCAACAUGUUGUAUUCGGCAGAUCACCUUGCAAUGGAUCAUAAGUGCUUUGAAUUUGCAUUCUCAAUAAUGUUUGGCAGUGUGAGGGUAUUAAACCCUGUGUGACUGUUGUGUGUUGUUAUAGAACUGCUGGAUGGAAGUGAGCACCUGGCCUUUCCCUGUCUGCUGGUUUGGACACUCUGUGUUGGACAAGACCUUGUACAUAUUUGGUGGCUUCAACCAUGCCAACUCCAAGUACACAGAUACAGUGCAGACCUUGGAUCUAGACAGGUGGGAAAAGUGGCAGUGGAGCAUUGUGGGAAGGCUACCCUUCAGGUGUGAUGGGAUAGCGGCGGCCAUUUUGACCUUGCCGGAACAGUUCAAACGAGAAGCGGAGGCAAGGGCCGGAACGGGGUCACAUUCAUACAGAUGACAACCAUGUUUUACAAUGGAAUUCUAUUUUGUGUAUUACUUUUAGAAAUAAAGUUCAUUGUUUCUGUGA